GGCUGGUCCAAGGGCAGUGGUGUUUAAAAUUAAUUGAUCACCACCAGUUACAGAUUUGUUUGUUCCUUCUCCAUUCCCACUGAUUCACUUCACUAGUCUUGU
ensembl:misc_RNA Y_RNA Y RNA